GGGAGUAUACCUCUGGGGUAGAGCAUUUGACUGCAGUUCAAGAGGUCCCUGGUUCAAAUCCAGGUGCCCCCU
rfam:Ictidomys tridecemlineatus contig045222, whole genome shotgun sequence.